GCCGGGGUGGCGGAACUGGCAGACGCGCUGGGCUUAGAACCCAGUCCCGUUAACGCGGGGUGGGAGUUCAACUCUCCCCCUCGGCA
rnacentral:tRNA from 1 species